AUUGAACGCUGGCGGCAGGCCUAACACAUGCAAGUCGAACGGUAACAGGAAGAAGCUUGCUUCUUUGCUGACGAGUGGCGGACGGGUGAGUAAUGUCUGGGAAACUGCCUGAUGGAGGGGGAUAACUACUGGAAACGGUAGCUAAUACCGCAUAAUGUCGCAAGACCAAAGAGGGGGACCUUCGGGCCUCUUGCCAUCGGAUGUGCCCAGAUGGGAUUAGUUAGUAGGUGGGGUAACGGCUCACCUAGGCGACGAUCCCUAGCUGGUCUGAGAGGAUGACCAGCCACACUGGAACUGAGACACGGUCCAGACUCCUACGGGAGGCAGCAGUGGGGAAUAUUGCACAAUGGGCGCAAGCCUGAUGCAGCUAUGCCGCGUGUAUGAAGAAGGCCUUCGGGUUGUAAAGUACUUUCAGCGGGGAGGAAGGGAGUAAAGUUAAUACCUUUGCUCAUUGACGUUACCCGCAGAAGAAGCACCGGCUAACUCCGUG
rnacentral:rRNA from 1 species